GCCUCCUUAGCGAAUAGUCGUCCGGUUAACGGCGUGCUUGUCAGUAAGACGACAAGAUAGCUUGGGAGGUUUUC
rnacentral:ncRNA from 1 species